AUACUUAAGCGGGCCUUUUUCUCGAGUUGAUUGAUUUUCCUAAUGUGAUUAAGGCGGAAAGGGUGCCACUUGUCUGAGUGCGUGUUACAAAGGUUAAUUUGAUUUUCCUUGGUCUCUCACUGCCUGAUUUCCUUUACUGUAUUAAUACCGCAGCAGAAGACAGGUGAAACGCGCAUCGGAGCUGCACGCGAACCAAAGACUGUAAAAAGAAGAGAACAAAACGAUGAAGGCUGUGGCAAUCUUUUUACUUGUGCUCGUGAGCGAAGUGUACUGUAGAAAUCUUAUUGACCUAUGGAAGCAGGCUGCUUGCACUGGGGAUUUGAAGUGGGGUACCUGUUAUUCCGCUUGCCCGCGCGUCUGCGGGGAGCCGGACCCAUGGGUUUGCACCCUGCAGUGUGUCAUAGGUUGUCGCUGCCCUGAAAACAAAAUUUGGGUCUCUCGGGACGGCAACAAGUGCGUGAACAGCAGAGAGGAAUGCCUCAGUCCAAAGAGUAGUCGAUUUUUACCAUUGCUUGAAAUAGCAUACGUUUAUGUACAUGGUUAUGAAAAAUGGAAAUAAAAACCAUGCUGUGAUUAUUAA